GACGAACGCUGGCGGCGUGCUUAACACAUGCAAGUCGAACGGAAAGGCCCUGCUUUUGUGGGGUGCUCGAGUGGCGAACGGGUGAGUAACACGUGAGUAACCUGCCCUUGACUUUGGGAUAACUUCAGGAAACUGGGGCUAAUACCGGAUAGGAGCUCCUGCUGCAUGGUGGGGGUUGGAAAGUUUCGGCGGUUGGGGAUGGACUCGCGGCUUAUCAGCUUGUUGGUGGGGUAGUGACUUACCAAGGCUUUGACGGGUAGCCGGCCUGAGAGGGUGACCGGCCACAUUGGGACUGAGAUACGGCCCAGACUCCUACGGGAGGCAGCAGUGGGGAAUAUUGCACAAUGGGGGGAAGCCUGAUGCAGCAACGCCGCGUGCGGGAUGACGGCCUUCGGGUUGAAAACCGCUUUCGCCUGUGACGAAGCGUGAGUGACGGUAAUGGGUAAAGAAGCACCGGCUAACUACGUG
rnacentral:rRNA from 1 species